rnacentral:rRNA from 1 species
UCCGAAGGGGGCUAGCGUUGUUCGGAAUUACUGGGCGUAAAGCGUGCGCAGGCGGCUUCUCAAGUCAGGGGUGAAAGCCCAGAGCUCAACUCUGGAAUUGCCUUUGAGACUGAGUGGCUUGAGUACGAGAGAGGUGAGUGGAAUUCCCAGUGUAGAGGUGAAAUGCGUAGAUAUCGUGAGGAACACCAGAGGCGAAGGCGGUUUCCUGGACAGUUACUGACGCUCAGGCACGAAAGCAUGGGGAGCAAAAGGG